rnacentral:rRNA from 1 species
AGAGUUUGAUCCUGGCUCAGAACGAACGCUGGCGGCGUGGAUAAGACAUGCAAGUCGAACGCUGAUUUUGCCGUAGCAAUAUGGCAAAGUUGGAGUGGCGCAAGGGUGCGUAACACGUGGGUAAUUUGCCGUGAAGUUGGGGAUAACUCGCUGAAAGGCGAGCUAAUACCGGAUGUGAUUAUUGGGGGGCAUCCCCUGGAAAUCAAAGUUGGGGACCGCAAGGCCUGACGCUUCACGAUAAGCCCGCGGCCUAUCAGCUAGUUGGUGAGGUAACGGCUCACCAAGGCUAUGACGGGUAGCUGGUCUGAGAGGACGACCAGCCACACUGGAACUGAGACACGGUCCAGACACCUACGGGUGGCAGCAGUCGAGAAUUUUUCUCAAUGGGCGAAAGCCUGAAGGAGCGACGCCGCGUGAGGGAUGAAGGGCUUCGGCCCGUAAACCUCUGUCAUUUGCGAACAAACCUUGUCCGUGAACAACGGGCAGGCUGAUUGUAGCGAAAGAGGAAGGGACGGCUAACUCUGUGCCAGCAGCCGCGGUAAUACAGAGGUCCCAAGCGUUGUUCGGAUUCACUGGGCGUAAAGGGUGCGUAGGUGGCUGGGUAAGUUUGAUGUGAAAUCUCCGGGCUCAACCCGGAAAAUGCAUUGAAUACUAUCCAGCUCGAGGUUUGGAGGGGGGACUGGAAUUCUUGGUGUAGCAGUGAAAUGCGUAGAUAUCAAGAGGAACACCAGUGGCGAAGGCGAGUCCCUGGACAAAUCCUGACACUGAGGCACGAAAGCUAGGGGAGCAAACAGGAUUAGAUACCCUGGUAGUCG